GGAAGACUGGUAACAGAAGUUAGCUCAGGGCGAAUCUUCCUCACCAAAAGAAAAGAAAAGAAAAUGUACAAUAUUUUCAGGAUGGUUUGUCCUGCCUAAAGGCAUUUUUUUUUUUUUUUAAAUGAGGCACAUUGCUCUAUUUUAUACAAAUACAAAAGGCAAGAAGAACAGGAUCUGUUUUUACUUGGAUUCUGUUUUCUCUCUGUAGGCUGCGGCACAUACCCUCCGCAAACGGACACCAGGGAGUGCUGCGCUGGUGGCAAUCCAGGAUUGCCUGAGCUCUGCCAGCACCCUUCUCCUCACCUGUGGCCGUUCUCCCACCUGCAGAGUCUCCCCCUUCCCACUGGGCCUACCUUGUCCUACUCUGUCUGCCAGGUCCUCCGUGUGAUACAACUUCAAAGAUGCCAGUUUUGAGGUCCGGCUUAGAGGCAGGUCAGUUCUUUUCUUGAGCAGCUAAGUCCACACCCCAAGCACUUCCCUUGUCGGGCUCCAGACCAUCAUACAUCGCCCUGACCGCCUGGGGCCAGGUGCCAGACAUUAGGGACAGCCCCUGGGACCCGGGCCUGAAGACACUAUUCAAAUUAGCCAAGCCCCAGGGAGCCCCCAAACCUAACUCACCCCACCCCCUCGCCGCAUGUGCGCGCCCCCUGCCCCUCAGGCUGCCUGCUCCCCAGACCCAGUCCAACUCCCAGGGACCCUGCUGGUGACCUUCUUUCGUUCGGAGCUGUGAGUAACCAAAAGCUGUGCCUUGCAUCUGUUGGAGUGUGUUGUCCUUCCAUCCGAAAAAAUCUUUAACUCUUAUAGAAAUCCCUGAUUUCCCCCUGGCGUUUCCUCUCUCUCUUUUUCUUCUUGACGUUUUUGUUUGUUUUGGUUAAUUUUCCCAUAACACCCACUAUCUCUUAGCAAUUCACUAUGGUGUCUCCUCCUACCCUGGACUGAGAGGGCCACCAAGGCAGGAUUUCGUCGUUUUUAUUUUCUGCAGUGUCCCAAGCACUUGGCACAGCACCUGGCACAUCGCAAGCUCUCCACAUGAGACUACUGAAUCAAUUCUCGCACCUGCCCCCUGGCCCGCUGUGACCAGCCAGGCUGGCCAGCACCUUCGGUUGACUGGCGACAACCCUGGUGGGACCACUGCUGGGUCUCUUGGAUCCACCGCAAGAGGCGAAGAGCCCUCAGCAGGGAAAUCUGGAGGUGUCACUGGAUUGCUAGAGGCACAACCAGCUGGAACAGAGGUGCCUUUUCCCAGGGCAGAGAAAAUUGCAGGGGAGAGAUUGCCAGCUACGGGUUUCCAAAGGACCCAUGGAAGUGCCACACAAGACAAUUUGGACCUGCUGGAUGCAGAGAGCAGUGAAGCUAAAUCAACUCAACCCUGUCAGUCAAGAAAGAAGUUCCCUGUCUCCCUUCCUCUCCCUGAGCUCCAUGCUGAUCAGUCAGGAGCUACAGUUAGCAAAAGAGGGGAGGAAGGGUUUGUUUUCCUUUACUCUGACCUUAGACUUUCUAUCUGACUUGACCCCAAAAGGGGAAGGAAAAAGCAUGAAGUUUAAAGCACAUGGAAGAUUUGCCAAUCAUAUGAAAAUGGACAACCUAACUACCAAAUGGAACUGAUGUUUGUGACCCUGGAAUGGCCGUGUCUAAAUUUCCCUUUAGGGAAAAAGGAAGAACUAACAUCAGUGAGCAAAUUUAAAGGGAGAAUGGAAGACCAAGUAAAGUCACUAAAUGUUUCCAUAUGACUAUGCUAGGAUGAAGAAGGCUACUGAUAUUUACUUUUUGUCUUGUAACUAGUGACAGCACCAAAUUUUCUUAUUUAAGUGAUAUCAACAAGAAAUGGAUUUGGAUUUUCUUCGAUUAUUUAAUUCUUUUUCUCAUUGCUUUCGUUUGAACUGUCCCAAGACAAUGGUGAAUAGUAAUGGUAACAGCAGGCAUCCGUGUCAAAUUCUGAUUUUAACUGAAAAGGUUUUAAUGUUUCCCCACUAGGAAUAAUGUAUGCUGUUGGUUUUAAGUUAGACUUUAUUAAAUUCUAGUAUUUUUAUUCCAUUUUUAGUUUCUAUUUCUAUUUUCUGAUUUCCUUAAUAAAAUAAUAAAACAAUAAAGCACAUCUGCUGAAUUUGAUUAGAUGCGUUAUCUAUAUCUAUCAAAUGACAUUUCAGUGUCUAUUGAUGUUAUCAUAAAAUAGCUCCCUUUAGUUUAUCUAUUAGAUUUGGAAUUAUGUUGAUGAAUUUCCUGGUAUUGAAUCAUCCUUGUAGUCUUAGAGUAUUUCCAACUUAGUCGUAAUGUGUAAUAUUUUGGUACAUUUUUGGAUUGCAUUUGGUAAUAUUUACCUUUUUUUUUUUUUGCCUCUAAAGUCAUUUAGAGAGAUUGGUCUAUAGUUUUCUUGUACUAAUGUCAUGCUGGUCUAAUAAAAUAAAUUGAGAAGCAUCCUCCUUUUUCUAUGGUUUGGAAUAAUGUAAGUAAGACUGAAAUAAUCUGUUUUUAAUAGAUAAGAUAA